rnacentral:rRNA from 1 species
GGAAAUUACGGGGGCUAAAAGGCCCCUCGGAGGCGGAUUUCCUUAAUUUCAAAGGUUAAAUUCCCCGGGGCUUAAACCUGGGAAAUGGCCUUUUAAUACUGGCUAGUUUUUGAUUUCCAAAAGAGGUAAGUGGAAUUUCCGAGGUGUAGAGGUGAAAAUUUGUAAAUUUUGGGGGGGAACCCCUAGUGGCGAAGGCGGGUUGACUGGCUCGGAUACUGACGUUGAGGUGCGAAAAGUAUGGGGAGCAAACAGGAUUAGAUACCCGGGUCGUUCACCCCGUUAACCGAUGAAUGCCUGACGUCAGCAUGUAUACUUGUUGGUGUCACACCUAACGGAUUAAGCAUUCCGCUUGGGGAGUACGGUCGCAAGAUUAAAACUCAAAGGAAUUGACGGGGGCCCGCACAAGCGUUGGAGCAUGUGGUUUAAUUAUAAGCAACGCGCAGAACCUUACCAACCCUUGACAUCCUGUGCCACUACCAGAGAUGGUACGUUCCCUUCGGGGACGCAGUGACAGGUGCUGCAUGGCUGUCGUCAGCUCGUGUCGUGAGAUGUUCGGUUAAGUCCGGCAACGAGCGCAACCCACAUCCUUAGUUGCCAGCAGGUUAAGCUGGGCACUCUAGAGAAACUGCCCGUGAUAAGCGGGAGGAAGGUGUGGAUGACGUCAAGUCCUCAUGGCCCUUACGGGUUGGGCUACACACGUGCUUCAAUGGCAGUGACAAUGGGUUAAUCCCCAAAAGCUGUCUCAGUUCGGAUUGGGGUCUGCAACUCGACCCCAUGAAGUCGGAAUCGCUAGUAAUCGCGUAACAGCAUGACGCGGUGAAUACGUUCCCGGGCCUUGUACACACCGCCCGUCACACCAUGGGAGUUGGUUCUACCCGACGACGCUGCGCUAACCCUUCGGGGAGGCAGGCGGCCACGGUAGGAUCAGCGACUGGGGUGAA